UGAUUGUGCAAUGUGGACACAGAAGACAGUUUUCUCUGUUUUGUUUUGUCAUUUUCUGGUUUGGGUAGACACUUGUUGCUUAGUGGAACAGUGCUGUGGCAAGAAGGCAUCACGGUUGAAGACCAAGGCCGUGUGCUGCUGUGGCAUCGUAAUCCAUGCAGCCACCACCUUUCUAUCCUCGUCAUUGCCUAAGUGUGCCUGCUUGGUUCCCUGUGGCUGCUUCAUUGAAUUCAUGUCUGAACUCGUAUCACUGAGAGUUUACUCAAAAUUAUGUAUGCUCCUAAAGAUGCUUCAAGCAUCUCCACUAACUGACAAACUAUCCCCUCUUCGGGAGGAUUGUCCCCAUCUGUACUGUCUCAACACGUUCUCCACCUCCAGCUGUGUGCUCUGGCCAACCAAUCACUUGGACCCACUGUCCUGAGGCAUCACAGACAGGAACGUCAUGAGGUUCAGUGAUUCAACACAUCUGAUUACCCAUGAAGUCCCCCAUAGGCCAACAGCCGAGAAACCUACAUCCUGGAUAGAGGAGCUCUCGCUUUCCACCUGGAGCAGCUAAGGGAGCCCCUUCUCCCGGGGAACGCUUCUGAAGCCAAUAGCUAACAAAGGAGAAUCAAAGCUGUCCUGGUCCUCUAGCUGCCCAACCAGGGACCAAGCCUGGCUCCAGGUCCAUAUACCCAUCGGGAAGUCUCAGCCUCAAUGCCAGCAUCCCCUCCCCGACAUCCACAGACCGUCCCUGCUCCUCCAGAAUCAGGCGACAGAAGACUCCACG